rnacentral:rRNA from 1 species
AGAGUUUGAUCAUGGCUCAGAUUGAACGCUGGCGGCAUGCCUUGCACAUGCAAGUCGAACGGCAGCACGAGAGCUUGCUCUUGGUGGCGAGUGGCGAACGGGUGAGUAAUAUAUCGGAACGUACCCUAGAGUGGGGGAUAACGUAGCGAAAGUUACGCUAAUACCGCAUACGAUCUACGGAUGAAAGUGGGGGAUCGCAAGACCUCAUGCUCAUGGAGCGGCCGAUAUCUGAUUAGCUAGUUGGUGGGGUAAAAGCUCACCAAGGCGACGAUCAGUAGCUGGUCUGAGAGGACGACCAGCCACACUGGAACUGAGACACGGUCCAGACUCCUACGGGAGGCAGCAGUGGGGAAUUUUGGACAAUGGGCGCAAGCCUGAUCCAGCAAUGCCGCGUGAGUGAAGAAGGCCUUCGGGUUGUAAAGCUCUUUUGUCAGGGAAGAAACGGUGGACUCUAAUACAGAUCACUAAUGACGGUACCUGAAGAAUAAGCACCGGCUAACUACGUGCCAGCAGCCGCGGUAAUACGUAGGGUGCAAGCGUUAAUCGGAAUUACUGGGCGUAAAGCGUGCGCAGGCGGUUGUGCAAGACAGAUGUGAAAUCCCCGGGCUCAACCCGGGAAUUGCAUUUGUGACUGCACGGCUAGAGUGUGUCAGAGGGGGGUAGAAUUCCACGUGUAGCAGUGAAAUGCGUAGAGAUGUGGAGGAAUACCGAUGGCGAAGGCAGCCCCCUGGGAUAACACUGACGCUCAUGCACGAAAGCGUGGGGAGCAAACAGGAUUAGAUACCCUGGUAGUCCACGCCCUAUACGAUGUCUACUAGUUGUCGGGUCUUAAUUGACUUGGUAACGCAGCUAACGCGUGAAGUAGACCGCCUGGGGAGUACGGGCGCAAGAUUAAAACUCAAAGGAAUUGACGGGGACCCGCACAAGCGGUGGAUGAUGUGGAUUAAUUCGAUGCAACGCGAAAAACCUUACCUACCCUUGACAUGUCUGGAAUCCUUGAGAGAUCAGGGAGUGCUCGAAAGAGAAUCAGAACACAGGUGUUGCAUGGCUGUCGUCAGCUCGUGUCGUGAGAUGUUGGGUUAAGUCCCGCAACGAGCGCAACCCUUGUCAUUAGUUGCUACGAAAGGGCACUCUAAUGAGACUGCCGGUGACAAACCGGAGGAAGGUGGGGAUGACGUCAAGUCCUCAUGGCCCUUAUGGGUAGGGCUUCACACGUCAUACAAUGGUACAUACAGAGGGUCGCCAACCCGCGAGGGGGAGCUAAUCCCAGAAAGUGUAUCGUAGUCCGGAUUGUAGUCUGCAACUCGACUACAUGAAGUUGGAAUCGCUAGUAAUCGCGGAUCAGCAUGUCGCGGUGAAUACGUUCCCGGGUCUUGUACACACCGCCCGUCACACCAUGGGAGCGGGUUUCACCAGAAGUGGGUAGCCUAACCGCAAGGAGGGCGCUCACCACGGUGGGAUUCGUGACUGGGGUGAAGUCGUAACAAGGUA